UACAGAGGUCUCAAGCGUUGUUCGGAUUCAUUGGGCGUAAAGGGUGCGUAGGCGGCGCGGUAAGUCGGGUGUGAAAUCUCGGAGCUUAACUCCGAAACUGCAUUCGAUACUGCCGUGCUUGAGGACUGGAGAGGAGACUGGAAUUUACGGUGUAGCGGUGAAAUGCGUAGAUAUCGUAAGGAAGACCAGUGGCGAAGGCGGGUCUCUGGGCCAUAACUGACGCUGAGAAGCGAAAGCAUGGGGGAGCGAACAGG
rnacentral:rRNA from 1 species